UACGGAGGGGGCUAGCGUUGUUCGGAAUUACUGGGCGUAAAGCGCACGUAGGCGGCUUUGUAAGUUAGAGGUGAAAUCUCCCAGCUCAACUGGGAGGGGUCGGGCGAGACUGCGGGGCUCGAGGUGGGUAGAGGGCAGUGGAAUUCCGGGUGUAGUGGUGGAAUGCGUAGAGAUCCGGAGGAACACCAGUGGCGAAGGCGGCUGCCUGGGCCUGGCCUGACGCUGAGGCGCGAAAGCGUGGGGAGCGAUCCGG
rnacentral:rRNA from 1 species